GGGUGCACGCGGUGACGGACAAACAUUCCCCGUCCAGCGGCUCCCCUCCCAACUCCAACCGUAACUGCCGGAGGUGGUUGGUGGGGGGGACCGAAACCCCGCCUUCCAUCCCGUGCGCGUGACGUCAACGUCGGGAAUCCGCGGCCAGUAUUGGCUGUCCUAGACGUCAAUCACCAACGCCUUUCGUCCGCUGGAAAGACGCGCCCCGGCGCGGUGACGAUUGUUGUGGAGGUUGGUCUGGGUCCAGGGUUGGAGGAAAAUUCUGGCCUGCACAUUAAUAGCUGUUCACAUUUUCCAACCUCAGGAAACCCAGCAAUUAAAAUGAGAUACAGAGGGUUACUGUCUACACCUUUUAAUUAAGAUGUUUUGGGCUGGACUAACCUCACAAAGUGCUGGGAGUGGAUGAGACCAUCUCCAAGCGGGGGGAUACAAUAUUGUCUGCAGUGGAUUUGUAAGAACUGUUCAAGCUGUCCAAGUACAAGAUGGCGCACAUGCUUCUGUUUCAGAUCAACAAUUAAGAGCAACAUGCAAACAUUAAACAACAGAGGAGAAGAAAAGAAUAGGCCUAGAAUGCAUUGAAAACUUGCUCUAAGAUUCAUUGUUUAAUGCCAUACCUGGGGGCAUCAGAGCUGCAGGACUGUGAUUUUUAUCUUUAGUGUUAGAAAGAAGCCUGUAGGUGACACCAAGAAGGCAAGGCAAGGCUAGAGAUAAGAAGCAGGACCAAGCAGCAGGAGUUAAGCUCCCAUUUCUGGACACAAUGCUGGAAGCACCUUAAUUAUCACCAGGUUAGGAAGAAUUACCAUGAUGCGACAUUCACCUGCAUCCUGAUGUGGCGGUUGCCCCUAUCCACUCAUUCUGCCCACUUAACUCCAGCACAUCUCUCCCUGCAGCCACUUGGGAAAAUGGCCAUUCAUCUAUAUCUGCAGUUUUGGAAGCCUUGACUAGCUGUUGCAGUGUAUGGAAAGAGCACAGGCAGCCAGGGUAUUAGAGUUGAUUACAGGUGACAGUUUGAACAUCAUCAAGUUAAAUGUGGCUUGUACAGUACUCAGCAACUAGAUACACAAGGGCUAUCACUGAUGUGUAUCACACUAAUGCAGAUGCUCCCCAUCUUAUGCUUGCUACCUUAUGGAUAAGGUUUACCCUUGUUUUCAUUUUCCCAACUAUUUGAUUUGAAUGCCCUUGAAGGCAGUUUGAGGUUGAACACUACAUGGGUUAGUGUGGGGUUGCUACCUCAAGUUGUUGCAGCAGAAGUUCAUUUCUGGAAUGCUUUUUGUGCUUCUGUUAUUAAGUUGGAAAGCAACGACUCUGUCUUCUGGAGUCUGGAUUGAGUCUCCAUUUCCAAAAAUAAUCCUUCAUGAUGUUUAGGUCUCUGUUUAUGGAGGCCUUGACAUGACUAAAGUUGGUUGCUUGCAUUACCAAGACAGGGUCAUCUGCAUAUCCACAUUUAUGUAUAAAGAGUUGUUGAAGAUUGUUGAAGAACUUUGGUGAGGUGUUUUGCUUUGGGGAAGCAUGCUUCCACUUAGCUCUUCAGAGCCUAUGAUGAGAUCAGAGUUGUAGUCAUGUUGCCAGCAAGCCGAUUGGAAGUUGUUUACCGUCUGGGAUUGAACAGGCACAGGCCUUUCAGGGAAAUUCAGUCUGUGAGGUCUUCACCAUCCUCUUUCUUUGUGUCAUCAUUCCACGUAGUGCAGAAGGCUGGGAUGAAGGACUUCUGACUUCAGUUACUAGAGUAAGGAGGUUGGUACAACUUGUUGUUCUUCCUCAGUUGGAUUCUACCAGCUGUAUCCAGCUGACAGUGCCUGUUUGGCUCAAACCUUUCCACAACACAAACUAAUCCCAUGUACCUUCACCACCUCCUUUGCAUGGGAUCAAUCUAAUAUCUUCCCAUGCCACAUAAACUGAGAAGCCAUUUGCCAUUCAAUUACCAUAAAUAUUUCAAACAAAAUAAUAGCAUCAAGAAGCAAUUUUUGUGUGAGACUCAAGAAUGGAACUUUAGUAUUGUAAUAUAAACAGAAAGCGUGGACCUUUCAUCAGAAAUGGGAGUAGUCUGAGAUCAAACAAGUUUUGAGUUGGAAGGAAAUGGGGAAGGGACAGUUAGAACACAAAGAAAGGUCUCUGAAAGGGUGGAAAGCAGGAGAGGUUAAAUGACAAAGUGACGAUAGCUCAGGGUGAAAUAUAGAGGGGUAGAGGCAAUAGGGAAUAAUAGAAAAUAGGUCAGGAGGAGGUGUGAAUGGGAGAUUAUUAAUAGUUUAAUGAGAUUUUCGGCAUCAAGAGGAAAAACAAUGAAUGCUGGAAAUAUUAGACACCAGGUUUAGAAUUACAGAUUAUAUGAAAUUGUUCAUCUCAGUAGAAUCCUGGAGCUGUAAUGUUUAUGUUCUUCUGCAAUUGCAUAUCUUGACUGUCUCCUUUCUACACUUGGUGCAACCCCUUUGGCUUCAGCAGAGGUAGAGACAGACUGCUCAGAACUAUGCUAUGAUAGCUAAGAUGCUCCAGCCUGACAUCAACAAAGCCCUGGAGAGCUCUGCUAUGGACUGCUUCACCUGCACUUGUGUAGAGGCAGACUUGACCAUUGAGAAUCAGCACACUAAUCCGCCUGUGGAGUAAUGACAGGUGGGGAACAGCCAUUGAGAAGGGAAUGUGCUUUGCUUAGAGCCCCAUGACCCCAGGCAGCAGCUUUCCUCUCAUGGCUCUGUAGCACCUCACUGCUAGCAAUAGUUGCAUUGUUACCAGAAUCUAUCAGGGAGUGCUGAUAUCUGUGCUGGACAUUAGACACAUGGGGCUGCAGAAGCAGACUGUUGGAGUGCAGAGCAGGGAAAAUGAGGCCCGAUCCUGGAUGACCUCUGAAAUUCUCUGUCCCCGAAUAUGGUGGAGGCCAGAUCAUUAGAUAUGUUUAACCCAGAGCAAACUUUGACAUAAACCUGAACUUAGAGAGUCUGUUCAAAUUCUCCCAGAUAUACCAUUCCCCCUGGCCACCUGCAAGUUUGUGACAGCUGCUGAAGUCUUUAUUCACUGAGCUGCUCAGCACUCUGCUGUAGGUAAGUGGAGUGCUGAUAAUCCAGGGUGACUUUCACCAUCAUCCUAUUGAAGGUGGUGUUCACACUGUGCAAGCCCUUGGUUGGGCCUGUGUAUGUAUGCUGUAUUUAGUGCCCAAGCAAAUAGCUGCCCUUUCCAUGAGCAAAAAAAUCAUCAUGAAGACCUGCAGCAUGGUGACUCUCUGGAUCGAGAAGGACUUUUCCACCAUCCCUGCAAGGGUGCCCAGUACAACUGGGAUUUUUUAACAGCAUUUAGCAGAUUUCUUUGCUGCUGCACCAGACAUUUUUCUUUCUGCUCAUCCACAGAGGGGUCCGCUUACACAGCAGAACCAGUGGAAAGUUAUUAAGUCUUGCGUGCGUGAAAGCCAAGACAGCAGUGCAUCGGGUCCACAUCAGUGAGCUGCUCUAUGUUGACAAUGCCGUACAAUCGUUCCAUGCCAGGGAACACCCCCAGCAGCCAGUGGACAGACUUUCUUAGACCUGUAAAGUGUACGGUUGAAUACCAAGUUGCCUCUCUCGAGUGGUUUUCUGAUCAACUUCUGAAGAUUUAAGCAAGCACCAUUCCCCACCACCACCCCCCACCAUCUACUCCCAAGCAGACCACACAUUGGGAUUAAAAUUACUCCCUUUAUCUCUCUUUGGUUAUAUUUCUUUACUUCUUUACUUGAUGUAUUUCCUUUCUAAUCUUUGACCCUUUUUGUAAGAAUAUAUCGUUCAACUUAAGCCAGGACACCUCCUCAUCCUCUUGAAUACUUAUAACCACUACCAAGGAAACUAAGACCAGAUGUUCAGUAUAUUGUUACAUGGCUGCUUCAUUUAACAUCAGAUCACUUGCAAUGUACAUUACAUUUCUACCCUCAGUGGGCCCCACCAUUACUGAAAAGCAACAUGUUAGGUAUGGAAGACAGUUUAUAGAGCUUUGUGUAAUAUAUACCUGGUAUUUAAUUUAAAAACGCCUGCUUUAUGAUUGAAAGUGAAAAUUGUAACUCAAAGACUAGGAAGGAUUCCAUUUAUAAUACUGGAAUUUUGUGUUUGAAAUAAAUGACAGUUUGGAUCUCCACCUCCUCUCCAUCCUGAACUUACUGGUACUUGCCCCAGAAGAAGAUGGAAGCUUAAUCCCUGUACCCUGUUAGACAGACACCAAGUGCUAGUACAAAAAUACCAGCUCAACUUUCCCUAGAAAUCUACUGGAACCACUCAUAUUGAGAGCCUUGGGUAAAUAAGCUAUUUCAACUUUUAAACCUGAAUUCACACUUAGCAUUGAGGUAGAAUUUCUUGUUAAUUAAUAAAAUUAUUUCAUUUUAUUGCUCUAACCAGAUUGUAAAAUUUCACUUGAGAACCAGCUGACUGGUUGAUAGUAUCAUCAGGCAAUCUUUGUAAUUCAAUGUUUUUAGAUGUUGUUACUUGAUUAGUCCUUCUCCCAGCAUCACCAUUGUCUCAAUAAUUUUCCAGCACAAUCAUUAUUGUUCUUCCUUAUU